AAAUAAUACAACAAUAAUACAUAAAUACACGCAAACAAAAAAAAAAAAUGCAUAAACAGAUUACAGCGUAUUAUUUCAAAACAUCUCAUUUCAAUUAUACAUAUACAUAUAUACAUAUAUUUUUUUUAUGGUAAUUUUAGCGAAUUAAGCAAUGUAAAUCAAUCAGAAGAAUUAAUCAGACUUCAAAAAGAAAAUGAAAAAUUAAGAAAUAAAAUAGAAUCUGAUACAAAUAAAGAAUCAAAGAGAGUGAAAGAAGUUAGUUUAAUAACUUUAUUAUGCAUUCAAGUUGUAUACAAAUUCACACAUAUGUAUAUAUGUAUGGUACACCUAAGUUAGUGAGAAAAUUUAUUUUACAUAUUUUUUUUACGUAACCGUAUUUUUACCCUGUUUUAUUUUAGCUUGAAAAAGAACUCAAGGAUUUGAAAGAAAUAAAUAACAAUUUAAAGAAUGAAGUAUUAAAAGACACAAAUAAUAACAACGCUCAAACUAAUCCACAACAGGAGAAAUAUGAAGCACAAAAUGUAAAAAUAUCACACUCUUUUUGUAAAGAAUAUUUUUUUUUGUUUAUUUUAUAUAUAUUUUUUUAAAUAGAUACGUUUAUUUUAUAUAUUUUUUUUAGAUAGAUACGUUUAUCUUAUAUUUAUUUUUUUAUAUACUUAUCAAUUUAUUUACUAACUUUUUUCUAAUGUUAUUUGUGUUUUGGCUGCAGGAAAAAAUCAUCAAAUUAGAAGCUGAGCUAUUAAUUGAAAAAAAAAAUAGUACAAUUAUUGAAGAAACGACUAAAAAUAAAUUAACAAAGGAAUUUAAUGCUGCAUUGCAAAUUUUUAAAGAACAAUUACAAAUUAGGGAAAAGGAAACUGAAUAUUACAAAGAAACAAUGAAAACACAGAUAGAUACUUUUAAAGACGAACAAAAAUUAUUAAGCGAUAUUAUUCACAACUUAGGCCUAAAAUAUAAACAAUUACAAACUUAUAAUCUUUGUUUAAAGAAUGAAAUUACAGGAAUUAAAUUAAGAACCAAAGCUUGUACAAAUUCCGACAACAAAUAAAAUCCCAGUUUUAUACAUAUAUAAUACUCCUUACAAUUAUUUUUUUUCUGUUUUUAAAUUAUUUUAAUUUUUUAAUAAGUCAAAACAUCAACAAAAUAACAUCAUGAAUAAAGUAAAUACUUCAUAUUUGUACA
rnacentral:lncRNA from 1 species